CAAUUUGUGAUGAUAAAAAUAUUAACUAUCUAAGCCUUUAAAAAAAGUUGCCAACCACAAAUGCAGAUGGAUUGCUAGAAGAGGAUCUUGUUUUGAAAGAGGAUACAUCAAUACUGGAGUUAAAGGUGGCAUGGAACGGUCAGAAAAAUAAACAACACAACCAGAAAGAAUUCAGGGAAAUUAACAGAAAACAAAGUAGAAGUAGAAAAUGGUCUUUACUUAUCAUGGUAGAGAAUUCUAGUAUGAAUUGACCCCAGUGGAUUC
rnacentral:lncRNA from 1 species